rnacentral:tRNA from 1 species
GAGGGUAUAGCUUAGUGACAGAGUACAUGCUUACUAUGCAUGAGGUCCUGGGUUCAAUCCUCAGUACCUCCA